UACGAGGGGGGCAAGCGUUGUUCGGAAUUAUUGGGCGUAAAGGGCGCGUAGGCGGUGCGGUAAGUCACGUGUGAAAACUCUGGGCUCAACUCAGAGCCUGCAGGCGAAACUGCCGUGCUUGAGUGUGGGAGAGGUGCGUGGAAUUCCCGGUGUAGCGGUGAAAUGCGUAGAUAUCAUUUGGAACGCCAAUGGUGAAAACAGCUCGCUGGGGGUUUGCUGACGCUGAGACACGAAAGCCAGGGGAGCAAACGGG
rnacentral:rRNA from 1 species